UUUUGUUUUUUUUUUGUGAAGCCCAAUGCUUUCUUGCUUCAUGUCGGGAGGUAGAGAAAUAAUAACAAUGAGACUCAAAGUCUCAUCCCUUUGCCUGUGUCUUCUUCCCCAUUUCCCUGGACUGUUCUCAAUAUGGCACUGUUCAUUUAUUCCUUUUGUCCGUCACUUUUUGUGGCCUUUAGCUUUUCUUUUGCUUUGCCUUUUCCUUUCUUUGCUCGAAAGGUUUUCAUUUCCACUAAAAAUCUGAAUUAUUCCAAAGCCAUGUUGAAGGAAAUGUGGGUGUUGGAGCCAAGGAAGUGAAGGAGGGAGUUAACGUAGAGGGAGCGGUAACUCUUCAAUAUAACACCAUUCUUUGUAGCUCAAAUCGCAAGGUUGUCUUCAUGAAAAUUGUUCCUUAGCUUGUGAACUACAACAUAUCCAAAUUUGAGAUCCAUCGGAGUAGUACAACUCCAGAUAUUCAGGUAUGAUGAGUUACUGUUCAUCAUUUUUCUGUUAACCCGUCAGACAUAUUGUGAGCUUCGAAACUUCAUGUUCUCUUGUUCAGAUCAACAUACUUUAUUCAUCGAAGUUGUUCCUCACCUUAUGAACUACAACAUAUCCAAAUUUGAGAUCCGUCGGAGUAGUACAACUCCAGAUAUUCAGGUAUGAUGAGUGACUGUUCAUCAUUUUUCUGUUAACCCGUCAGACU
rnacentral:lncRNA from 1 species